rnacentral:rRNA from 1 species
UACGAAGGGGGCUAGCGUUGUUCGGAAUUACUGGGCGUAAAGCGCACGUAGGCGGAUGUGCCAGUCAGGGGUGAAAUCCCGGAGCUCAACUUCGGAACUGCCUCUGAUACAGCACGUCUUGAGUCCGGAAGAGGUGGGUGGAAUUCCUAGUGUAGAGGUGAAAUUCGUAGAUAUUAGGAAGAACACCGGUGGCGAAGGCGGCCCACUGGUCCGGUACUGACGCUGAGGUGCGAAAGCGUGGGGAGCAAACAGG